rnacentral:rRNA from 1 species
GAUGAACGCUGGCGGCGUGCCUAAUACAUGCAAGUCGAGCGAACAGAUGAGGAGCUUGCUCCUCUGACGUUAGCGGCGGACGGGUGAGUAACACGUGGAUAACCUACCUAUAAGACUGGGAUAACUUCGGGAAACCGGAGCUAAUACCGGAUAAUAUAUUGAACCGCAUGGUUCAAUAGUGAAAGACGGUUUUGCUGUCACUUAUAGAUGGAUCCGCGCCGCAUUAGCUAGUUGGUAAGGUAACGGCUUACCAAGGCAACGAUGCGUAGCCGACCUGAGAGGGUGAUCGGCCACACUGGAACUGAGACACGGUCCAGACUCCUACGGGAGGCAGCAGUAGGGAAUCUUCCGCAAAGGGCGAAAGCCUGACGGAGCAACGCCGCGUGAGUGAUGAAGGCCUUCGGAUCGUAAAACUCUGUUAUUAGGGAAGAACAAAUGUGUAAGUAACUAUGCACGUCUUGACGGUACCUAAUCAGAAAGCCACGGCUAACUACGUG